rnacentral:rRNA from 1 species
AGUGAACGCUGGCGGUAGGCCUAACACAUGCAAGUCGAACGGCAGCACAGUAAGAGCUUGCUCUUACGGGUGGCGAGUGGCGGACGGGUGAGGAAUACAUCGGAAUCUACUUUUUCGUGGGGGAUAACGUAGGGAAACUUACGCUAAUACCGCAUACGACCUACGGGUGAAAGCAGGGGAUCUUCGGACCUUGCGCGAUUGAAUGAGCCGAUGUCGGAUUAGCUAGUUGGCGGGGUAAAGGCCCACCAAGGCGACGAUCCGUAGCUGGUCUGAGAGGAUGAACAGCCCCACUGGAACCGAGAAACGGUCCAGACUCCUAAGGGAGGGCGCAGUGGGGAAUAUUGGACAAUGGGCGCCAGGCUGAUCCAGCCAUACCGGGUGGGUGAAGGAGGCCUUCGGGUUGUAAAGCCCUUUUGUUGGGAAAGAAAAGCAGCAGGUUAAUACCCCGCUGUUCUGACGGUACCCAAAGAAUAAGCACCGGCUAACUUCGUG